UACGUAGGGUGCGAGCGUUGUCCGGAAUUACUGGGCGUAAAGAGCUCGUAGGUGGUUUGUCGCAUUGUUCGUGAAAACUCACAGCUCAACUGUGGGCGUGCGGGCGAUACGGGCAGACUGGAGUACUGCAGGGGAGACUGGAAUUCCUGGUGUAGCGGUGGAAUGCGCAGAUAUCAGGAGGAACACCGGUGGCGAAGGCGGGUCUCUGGGCAGUAACUGACGCUGGAGGAGCGAAAGCGUGGGGAGCGAACAGG
rnacentral:rRNA from 1 species